GAUGAAGAACGCAGCGAAAUGCGAUAAGUAACGUGAAUUGCAGAAUUCAGUGAAUCAUCGAAUCUUUGAACGCACAUUGCGCCCGCUAGUAUUCUAGCGGGCAUGCCUGUUCGAGCGUCAUUUCAACCAUCAAGCCCCAGGCUUGUGUUGGAGCCCUGCGGCCGUCCGCAGCCUCCUAAAAUCAGUGGCGGGCUCGCUAUCACACCGAGUGCAGUAGUUUACUCUUCGCUCAGGACGUGUAGCGGGUUCCGGCCGUGAAACCCCCCAAUUUUCAAGGUUGACCUCGGAUCAGGUAGGAAUACCCGCUGAACUUAAGCAUAUCAAUAAGCGGAGGA
rnacentral:misc_RNA from 1 species